rnacentral:rRNA from 1 species
GGCUCAGGAUGAACGCUGGCGGCGUGCUUAACACAUGCAAGUCGAACGGGUGCUUGGGGAAACUUGAGCGCUAGUGGCAAACGGGUGCGUAACACGUGGGUUUACCUACCUCAAAGUGGGGAACAACAGACCGAAAGGUUUGCUAAUACCGCAUGUGCUCAGCAAUGAGUAAAGUCGCAAGACGCUUUGAGAGGGGCCCGCGUCCCAUCAGGUAGUUGGUGAGGUAAUGGCCCACCAAGCCGAUGACGGGUAGCUGCUCUGAGAGGAAGAUCAGCCACACUGGCACUGAGAUACGGGCCAGACUCCUACGGGAGGCAGCAGUGAGGAAUAUUGCGCAAUGGACGAAAGUCUGACGCAGCGACGCCGCGUGGGCGACGAAGGCCUUCGGGUCGUAAAGCCCUUUUGGCAGGGACGAGUGAGGACGGUACCUGUCGAAUAAGUCUCGGCUAACUACGUGCCAGCAGCCGCGGUAAAACGUAGGAGGCGAGCGUUAUCCGGAUUCACUGGGCGUAAAGCGUGCGUAGGCGGUUGGGUAAGUCGGACGUGAAAGCCCCUGGCUCAACUGGGGGAGGUCGUUCGAUACUGCUUGGCUUGAGGAUGAAAGAGGAAAGCGGAAUUCCCGGUGUAGCGGUGGAAUGCGUAGAGAUCGGGAGGAACACCAGUGGCGAAAGCGGCUUUCUGGUUCAUUUCUGACGCUGAGUGCACGAAAGCGUGGGGAGCAAACGGGAUUAGAUACCCCGGUAGUCCACGCUCUAAACGAUGAGAGCUGGGUGUUGGCAGGGUUUCCUGUCAGUGCCGAAGCAAACGCGUUAAGCUCUCCGCCUGGGGACUACGAACGCCGGUUUAAAACU